CCCCCGUCAUCAUCAUAUGUAUCUGUCCUGCCUGGACAAGCACAAACUCAUCCAUCAGCUACGGGAGCAAGGAAUUACAUUGUACAACAAAUGCCGCCACCUAACUUGCCAAUGCCAAGGCCAGAAGCUAGUAGUUUCGGAACUGGAGGAGCUGUUUUCGGCUUGUCAAAUCCAGAUCAGCAGCUAAAUAAUUCAUUCUCCACCACUCCUGCCUCUACUCCCUUCCCUGCAGGGGGGAACCCAUUCGGCUGAUGUGAAAAUGUGUCUUCCUGAACUUGUAAAAUCAAGCAUCAACUUGUUGCUCCCUGUACAAAUUUGGAUGAGUUUUGGUUUCUAUUGUUAGUCAA